rnacentral:piRNA from 1 species
UCUGACUACAAAGUUCAGCACAGAGCCUU